rnacentral:rRNA from 1 species
CGGACGGGUGAGUAAUGUCUGGGAAACUGCCUGAUGGAGGGGGAUAACUACUGGAAACGGUAGCUAAUACCGCAUAACGUCGCAAGACCGAAACGAGGGGGGACCUUCGGGCCUCUUGCCAUCGGAUGUGCCCAGAUGGGAUUAGCUAGUAGGUGGGGUAACGGCUCACCUAGGCGACGAUCCCUAGCUGGUCUGAGAGGAUGACCAGCCACACUGGAACUGAGACACGGUCCAG